rnacentral:rRNA from 1 species
AACGAACGCUGGCGGCAUGCCUAACACAUGCAAGUCGAACGAGAUCUUCGGGUCUAGUGGCGCACGGGUGCGUAACGCGUGGGAAUCUGCCCUUUGGUUCGGAAUAACAGUUGGAAACGACUGCUAAUACCGGAUGAUGACGAAAGUCCAAAGAUUUAUCGCCAGAGGAUGAGCCCGCGUAGGAUUAGCUAGUUGGUGUGGUAAAGGCGCACCAAGGCGACGAUCCUUAGCUGGUCUGAGAGGAUGAUCAGCCACACUGGGACUGAGACACGGCCCAGACUCCUACGGGAGGAAGCAGUGGGGAAUAUUGGACAAUGGGCGAAAGCCUGAUCCAGCAAUGCCGCGUGAGUGAUGAAGGCCUUGGGGUUGUAAAGCUCUUUUACCCGGGAUGAUAAUGACAGUACCGGGAGAAUAAGCUCCGGCUAACUCCGUGCCAGCCGCCGCGGUAA